GACGAACGCUGGCGGCGUGCUUAACACAUGCAAGUCGAACGAAGUGGCGAACGGGUGAGUAACGCGUAAUCAACCUGCCCUUCAGAGGGGGACAACAGUUGGAAACGACUGCUAAUACCGCAUACUGAAGGAGGGGAUUGCGUCUGAUUAGCUAGUGGGAGGGGUAACGGCCCACCAAGGGGAUGAUCAGUAACCGGGCUGAGAGGGUGGACGGCCAAAUUGGGAACGAGACACGGCCCAGACUCCUACGGGAGGCAGGAGUGGGGAAUCUUUCGCAAUGGACGAAAGUCUGACUGAGCAAAGCCGGGUGAGUGAUGAAGGCCUUCGGGUUGUAAAGCUCUGUUAAUCGGGACGCGGUACCGGAAUAGAAAGCCACGGCUAACUACGUGCCAGCAGCCGCGGUAAUAC
rnacentral:rRNA from 1 species